GAUGAACGCUGGCGGCGUGCCUAAUACAUGCAAGUCGAGCGAACGGACGAGAAGCUUGCUUCUCUGAUGUUAGCGGCGGACGGGUGAGUCACACGUGGAUAACCUACCUAUAAGACUGGGAUAACUUCGGGAAACCGGAGCUUAUACCGGAUAAUAUUUUGAACCGCAUUGUUCAAUAGUGAAAGACGGUCUUGCUGUCACUUAUAGCUGGAUACGGGCUGCAUUGGCUGGUUGGUAAGGUAACGGCUUACCAAGGCAACGAUGCAUAGCCGACCUGAAAGGGUGAUAGGCCACACUGGAACUGAGACACGGACCAGACUACUAAGGGAGGCAGCAGUAGGGAAUCUUCCGCAAUGGGCGGAAGCCUGACGGAGCAACGCCGCGUGAGUGAUGAAGGUCUUCGGAUCGUGAAACUCUGUUAUUAGUGAAGAACAUAUGUGUAAGUAACUGUGCACAUCUUGACGGUACCUAAUCAGAAAGCCACGGCUAACUACGUG
rnacentral:rRNA from 1 species